rnacentral:tRNA from 1 species
GCCUACGUGGUGGAAUGGUAGACACGCAGUCUUCAGGUGGCUGUGGGAUUUAUCCCGUGCUGGUUCAAGUCCAGUCGUAGGCA